rnacentral:rRNA from 1 species
GCACAAGCAGCGGAGCGUGUGGUUUAAUUCGUUGCUACACGAAGAACCUUACCUGGGUUUGACAUAUAGGUUGUAGGGAACUGAAAAGGGACCGACCCUUCGGGGAGCCUAUACAGGUGUUGCAUGGCUGUCGUCAGCUCGUGUCGUGAGAUGUUCGGUUAAGUCCGCUAACGAGCGCAACCCUCGUCGUAUGUUAUAUGUGUCAUACGAGACUGCCGGUAAAAGCCGGAGGAAGGUGAGGAUGAUGUCAAGUCAGCAUGACCUUUAUAUCCAGGGCUACACACACGCUACAAUGGUCUGUACAAUGGGUAGCCAAGCCGCGAGGCGGAGCCAAUCCUGAAAGCAGGCCUCAGUUCAGAUUGCAGUCUGCAACUCGACUGCAUGAAGCCGGAGUUGCUAGUAACCGCAGGUCAGCAAUACUGCGGUGAAUACGUUCCCGGGUCUU